UACGGAGGGGGCGAGCGUUAUUCGGAAUUAUUGGGCGUAAAGGGCGCGUAGGCGGCCUUGUAAGUCAAAGGUGAAAUCCCUCGGCUCAACCGAGGAACUGCCUGUCAGACUGUGAGGCUUGAGACCAGGAGAGGUGAGUGGAAUUCCCAGUGUAGCGGUGAAAUGCGUAGAUAUUGGGAGGAACACCAGUGGCGAAGGCGGCUCACUGGACUGGUACUGACGCUGAGGCGCGAAAGCGUGGGGAGCAAACAGG
rnacentral:rRNA from 1 species